GGGGAGGGAAGGCAGAUUGAAGAUUGACAUAAGAUCAAAGGUUUGACAAAACUUGCCACCAUUCAAAUGAGACCCACAGACAUUUCAAACGUGGUUUGUUCAUGGGCAGCGUAAGGUGAAAUGAUGGAUCCAAGGGCCAUGGUCAAGGGCAGCCUCCACCUCUUUCAGCAUAUUCUUCCCUUGGAAAGUUCACUCACCACCCUCAACCAUCCAUCUCCAGAGCUGAGGCCCUGAAAGUGGCUCCCACAACUGUCUGGCCUGACCAAGUCUCUGGGUUGGCUUCAUUUUAUUAGAGAAGGUACUUUAAAGUAUAUUUUCCCCCCUAACUGUUCACUCCUUCUAAGUAUUAGUAACUAAACUAAAAUCAGUCAAUUAAUUCACAAUUUAUAUACUAUUUAGCAACAAUGUCUUAAUAACUUAAGACUCUCAGAGGACUUUUGCAAUUUGCCCUAACAUUUCUAAUGGAAUUUUUUUGGCCCUCUGGGAGGCUAUUGAGUGUUUAAUGCUUACUUUUAUCCCAUUCUCCUCUCCUCUUAGAAAGGUCACAUGACUGUGGCCUGGGCAUCACCUGCAAACCUUGGCAUUUAACUGCCAUUGAGUGACCCUCCAGUAUGCUCCCCUCUAUUUUGACAGGUGGAGUCAUUUGUUGAAAUGAAAGUGUCAUAAGAUUAAGAAACCUGGAUCCCUGAGGUACCCUGUGAAGGGCAGGUGUCCUAGAGAAUCAUCCAGACCUACAAAGGGC
rnacentral:lncRNA from 1 species